rnacentral:rRNA from 1 species
CUACGGGGGGCUGCAGUGGGGAAUAUUGCACAAUGGGCGAAAGCCUGAUGCAGCAACGCCGCGUGGAGGAUGACACAUUUCGGUGCGUAAACUCCUUUUAUAUAAGAAGAUAAUGACGGUAUUAUAUGAAUAAGCACCGGCUAACUCCGUGCCAGCAGCCGCGGUAAUACGGGGGGUGCAAGCGUUACUCGGAAUCACUGGGCGUAAAGAGCAUGUAGGCUGGAUGACAAGUUGGAAGUGAAAUCCUAUGGCUUAACCAUAGAACUGCUUCCAAAACUGUCUUCCUAGAGUAUGGGAGAGGUAGAUGGAAUUUCUGGUGUAGGGGUAAAAUCCGUAGAGAUCAGAAGGAAUACCGAUUGCGAAGGCGAUCUACUGGAACAUUACUGACGCUCAGAUGCGAAAGCGUGGGGAGCAAACAGGAUUAGAUACCCGCGUAGUC